AUUGAACGCUGGCGGCAGGCCUAACACAUGCAAGUCGAGCGGAUGAAGGGAGCUUGCUCCUGGAUUCAGCGGCGGACGGGUGAGUAAUGCCUAGGAAUCUGCCUGGUAGUGGGGGAUAACGUCCGGAAACGGGCGCUAAUACCGCAUACGUCCUGAGGGAGAAAGUGGGGGAUCUUCGGACCUCACGCUAUCAGAUGAGCCUAGGUCGGAUUAGCUAGUUGGUGGGGUAAAGGCCUACCAAGGCGACGAUCCGUAACUGGUCUGAGAGGAUGAUCAGUCACACUGGAACUGAGACACGGUCCAGACUCCUACGGGAGGCAGCAGUGGGGAAUAUUGGACAAUGGGCGAAAGCCUGAUCCAGCCAUGCCGCGUGUGUGAAGAAGGUCUUCGGAUUGUAAAGCACUUUAAGUUGGGAGGAAGGGCAGUAAGUUAAUACCUUGCUGUUUGGACGUUCCAACAAAAUAAGCACCGGCUAACUUCGUG
rnacentral:rRNA from 1 species